rnacentral:rRNA from 1 species
GACGAACGCUGGCGGCGUGCUUAACACAUGCAAGUCGAACGGAAAGGCCCUGCUUUUGUGCGGUGCUCGAGUGGCGAACGGGUGAGUAACACGUGAGUAACCUGUCCUUGACUUUGGGAGAACUUCACGAAACUGGGGCUCAUAUCGGAUAUGAUCUCCUGCUGCAUGGUGGGCGAUGGAAAGUUUCGGUGGUUGGGGAUGUACUCGCGGCUUAUCAGCUUGAUGGGGGGGUAGUGGCUUACCACGCUUUUGACGGGUAGCCGGCCUGCGAGGGGGACCGGGGCCAAGAGGACUGCGAUAGGGCGCAGAAUCGAACGGGAGGCAGCGGGGGAGAGCAUUACACAAUAGGCGGGAGCGAGAUGUGACAACGCCGGGUGCGGGAAGACGGGCUACGGGUUGAAAACCACUGUCGCCUGAGCCGAGGCGUGAGUGACGGUACCGGGUAAAGAAGCACCGGCUAACUACGUG